UAGAACAGUCUGCCACCAACAGCAGUGAGGGCAGGAACUCAAGCAGGGCAGGAACCUGAAGGCAGGAGCUGAGACAGAGGCCAUGGAGGAUGCUGCUGACUGGCUUGCUCCUCAUGGCUUGUUCAGCCUGCUUCCUUAUAGAACCCAGGACCAUUAGCCUAGGGAUGGCCCCACCCACAAUGGGCUGGGCCCUCUCCCAUUAAUCACUAAUUAAGAAAAUGCCCUCUAUCUGGGUGUAGUGGCACAAACCAUUCCUUCCAACACUUGGGAGGCAGAGGCAGUAGAUCUCUCUGAGUUCAAGGUCAGCCUGGUCUAUAUGGUGAGUUCCAGGACAUCUGGAGCUACAUAGGGAGACCCUGUCUCAAAAAAUUAAAAGCAAAAUUAAAAGCCAGUCUGUAGCUUGAUCUAAUAGAGACAUUUUCUCAAUUGAGGGUCCCUCCUCUCCGGUGACUCUAGCUUUGUUAACAUGAAACCAGCCAGCACAGGUAAGAAGGGAGCUUUAAUUGCUAAAGUCUUCUUUAUGGUUCUCAGGGAUUGUUCAGAGCAAAAAUCCACCUGAAUGCUGAAGUUUACUAAAAGACCACUGGGUUCUUGCUCAUUUAAUCUUUCUCCCCGUUUCUUAUCAAAUCCUUCAGCAAAACUCACUAGGAACAUAACUAGAAGCAAAGGAAGUUUGGUUUCUGCCUCAUUUAUAAAGGUGUGCACCAUGGGGUCUGGGUAAGGGAUCAAUCUUAGUAGAUGUUGAAAGAGCUGAUUGGCCCUGCGCUGAGCUGUGAGAGGCGUCUGUGGAAGUUGGGUUUAGCCAUGAGUAGAUGUCAGGAGUCAAAUAGUCUCUGCCAGGCGGGUUUGUUUGUUUGCAUUAUGUUAUGGUUUGUAUAUGCUCAACCCAAGGAGUGGCCCUGUUAGGAGGUGUAGCCUCAUUAGAGUGGGUGUGGCCUUGCCAGAGUGGGUGUGGCCGUGCCAGAGUGGGUGUGGCCUUGUUAGAGUGGGUGUGUCACUGUGGGCAUGAGCUUUAAGACCUUCAUCCUAGCUGCCUGGGAAUCAGUCUUCCACCAGCAGCCUUCAGAUGAAGAUGUAGAACUCUCAGCUCCUCCUGCGCCAUGUCUGCCUGGAUGCUGCCAUGCUCCUGCCUUGAUGAUAAUGGACUGAACCUCUGAACCUGUAAGCCAGCCCCAACGAAAUGUUGUCUUAUAAGAGUUGUCUUGGGGGGUUGGGGAUUUAGCUCAGCGGUAGAGCGCUUGCCUAGCGAGCGCAAGGCCCUCCCUGGGUUCGGUCCCCAGCUCCGGAAAAAAAAGAAAAGAAAAAAAAAGAGAGUUGUCUUGGUUAUGGUGUCUGUUCACAGCAGUAAAACCCUAACUAAGACACAUUCUAUUUAUUUAUUUGGAAGAAAGGCAUGGAUUUGCCACAGUGCCAGUGUGGUUCAAGAACUCCUUGUGGGAGAAGCCAGUUCUCUCCUCCCACCAUGUGAGUUCCAGGGAUCAAACUUAGGUUUGGUGCCAAGUACCUUUAACCGCUGUCCAUCCCACUGGACCUAAGACUAUCUAAAGCUAUCUGGGGUGGUUAGUUUUAACUGUUAACUUGGUACAUCCUAGAGUCACCUGGAAAGAAAAAUCAGACUGGCCUUUGGGAGUGUCUGUAAGGGACUGCCUUGAUUGUGUUUAUUGAUGUAGGAAGACCCAUCCUGAAUGUGAGCAGCCCCUUCCCUGGUUUGGCUCCUGGACUGUGGAAGGAAAGCUAAGUAUUCAAGCUUCCAAGGUGUCGUGGGGAACAGACAGUGGGUGGUGGUCAUGUGAUCAGCUGCUUCCCAUUCCAGCUGCUGCGAGUCCCCUGAAGUGAUAGCCGGGAACCUGGGGCUGUAGGCUAAAGUAAACCAUUGCUCCCCUAAGCUGCUUCUCAGCAGGAUAUUUUACAUAGCAACAGAAAUGAAACAAAGACAGCAUCUCAUCUGGAAGACAGAAAGAACCUUCUACAGCCCGUGAGAGGCUAAGGCUGUUGGUAACAAGUGUUUGUCAUACACAGACAUUUUAAAGAUUUAUUUUAUUUUAUGACUCUGUGUGUAUGUACACUGUGUGUGUGUGUGUGUGUGUGUGUGUGUGUGUGUGUGUACAGGAAUCCAAGGAGUCCAGAACAGGGUCAUAUUACAGGCCCCCUGGAACUAGAAUUACAGGCAGUUGCGAGCCACCAUGUGGGUCCUCUGCAAGAGCACUAAGUGCUCUUAACUGCUGAGAUAUCUCUCUAGCCCCACGGGAGCCACUUCUUCAGUUCUAACAAUGCUCUUUGUGUGUGUGUGUGUGUGUGUGUGUGUGUGUGUGUGUGUCUGUAUACACAUGUGUUUUGUGUGUAUGUAUGAGUGUGUGUGGUAUUACAUAUAAGUGUGUGUACAAAUGUUUGUAUGUAGUGUGUGAAAGAGUGUGUGUGUGCUACAUGUGUGUGCCAUGUGUGUAUGUGUGUGUAUGAGUGUGUGCUGUAUAUAUGUUUGUGUCUGAGUAUAUGUGUGUUUGCUGUGUGUGUACAAGUGUGCAUGUAUAUAAGUGUUUUGAGUGUUGUAUGUGUAUCUGUGUGAGUGUGUGUGAAUUUGUGUGUUGUAUGUGAGUGUGUGUGCUGAGUAUUGUGUGUGUUAUGUGUGUGUGAGUGUGUGUAUGUGUGUGAGUAUGUGUGUAUGCUGUAUGUGUUUGAGUAUGUGUGUGUGUGUGCUAUGUGUGUGAAUGUGUGUGUGCUGUGUAUGUAUAUGUGUAUAUAUGUGUGUGCUAUGUGUGUGAGUGUAUGUGUGUGUGCUGUGUGUGUGAGUGUGUGUAUGUGUGUAUGUAUGCUAUAUGUAUGAGUGUGUGUGCUGUGUAUAUGUGUGAGAGUGUGUGUGUGUGUGUGUGCAUGUGUGUGUGUGUGUGUGUGUGUGUGUGUGUGUGUUUAGCCAGUGGACAAUUCUGGAUGUCAUUAGUCAGGCAUCAUUUUUUUGAGGGGGGUGUCUCACUCACUGUCCUAAGACCGGCCAUGUAGUCUACACAGCAAACCAGAAAGCACCAGGAUCCAGCUGUCUCAACCUCCCCAGAAUGAACUACAAACACCCACGGCUGUUACUGUUACUAUUACUGUAACUGGUUGGUUUCGCUGUAAUGCUGGGACUGUACCCAGGACCUAAGCACAUGCUGAGCAAGCACACUGUUGCCUAGACAACUACCUCUUCCUGGAAAUGUAUUUUUAGAUUUUAAGGUUGGGGCUGCAGAGACGGCUCAGCAGUUAAGAGCAUACUGCUUUUGCAGAGGACCAGAUUCAGUUCCCAACACCCACAUCAGGCAAUGCGCAACCACCCACACAUAAUUGUAGUUCCUGGGAAUCCAAUGCCUUCCGGCCUCACUGGACACCUGCACCCGUGUCAUACACAUAAACAAAAAUAAACGACGACACCUUUGCAAUUUAACUCUUAAAUUUCUAAAUAUCUCUGUACUUUCAGAUCACCUUUCUGCAGCUGAUUGUCCAACUUUUCAUUAUUAACACAGUUACCCAUACUGCCUUAACUCUCAUUGGGUAGCACUACCAGGCUAGUUUUGAGCUCACACAGCCUCAGCCUUGCCAGUGCUGGGAUCACAGGCAGGAGCUUUGAAAUCUGUUGGGUGGUGAGUUUGCUCCACCUUCAAGUGCCUGCCAAUUUUACCAUCACUUGUGACAGAAAGUGCUGAGACCUACCUCCAGGACAGCGUGGCUUCCUCUUGCCAUCUUCCCAAUUCUGUCUAGGUUGGCUUUAUGUAUUAUAAGAUUCCUUUUUCAGUAUAUGCCGAGUUGAAAUGUCUUGGAUAAACCAAUUCUUUUAUCCUCAGGUAAUAUCCACUUUUUUUUUUUAAAGAUUUAUUUACUUUAUUUAUAUGAGUACAUUGUAGCUGUUUUUCAGACACACCAGAAGAGGGCAUCAGAUCCCAUUACAGAUGGUUGUGAGCCACCAUGUGGUUGCUGGGAAUUGAACUCAGGACCUCAGGAAGAACAGUCGGUGCUCUUAACCACUGAGCCAUCUCUCCAGCCCCGUAAUAUCCACUUUUAUCCCUGCCUCCAGCGCCUGUUCUGAACUCAGGUUUGUCUGUACUUCUCUGGUCUCUUUAAAUGGAGCACGCACAGUUGGGUCAUGUGUUUUCAAUCCAAUCCGAUAAUCUCUGUAUUUUAGUUGGUGUGUUUAAACCAUUUACAUGUAAUGUAGUUGUUGUUGUGAUUCAGUUUAAGCCUCCUACGUUUCGUGAUUUGUUGCCCCCUCUUCUUUUCCACUUUUUAAAAAUUCCUUUAUUAUACCUUCCUCAUUCUCUUGAGUCAUUUGGAUGGUUUUAGUGCCUUAAUUUAUCUGUAUCAUUGUUUUUUUUUUAUUUUUACUUAUUUGUGUGUGUGUGUGUGUGUGUGUGUGAGAGAGAGAGAGAGAGAGAGAGAGAGAGAGAGAGAGGGAGAGGUAUGUCAUGGCCCAUGAGUGGGGUCAGAGGACAACUUUGUAGGUCAGUUCUCUUUACCUUUACAUGGGUUCUAGGGAUUGAACUUGUAUCCUCAAGCUUGUGACAUUAGGUGACAAGUGCCUUCAUCCACUGAGCUAUCUUGCUAGUUCAGGGUUGUUUUCCUACUAUCUUUCUAUACUGGAGAGCUGGUGAGUAAGACACACACACAGCUGACCCGUCUUUUUGCUGCUCCACUGUGGAGUUACGUCUUCCACAGUUUGGGAAGUGUCCUAGCUAGGUUUAUGCUAACUUAACACAAGCUAGAGUCAUCUGAAAGGUGAGAAUCUCAAUUUAGAAAAUGCCUCCAUAAGAUCCAGCUGUAUGCCACUUUGAUGGGAGAGGGACCAGCCCACUGUGGGCGGUGUCAUCUCCUAUACUGGUGGUCCUGGGCUCUAUAAGAAAGCAAGCUGAGCAAACCAAGGGGAGCAAACCAGUAUUCAGCGCACACACACACACACACACACACACACACACACACACACACACACACACCCCAAGGCCUCUCCAUCAGCUCCUGCCUAACUUCCUUCAGUGAUGAAUAGUAAUGUGGAAGUGUAAGCUGAAUUAACCCUUUCCUCUCCAACUUGCUUUAGUCAUGGUGUUUCAUCACAUCAAUACCAACCCUGAAUAAAGGAGGAAGCCUUCAGUCUUUAUGCCUUCAUAUAUAUUUCUACAGUGUUAUAGAAUGAACACACCUUCCCACUGAAAAAUCACAUCAGCACUUAGAAAUUAAUAAGGAAAAUCUCCCUAAUAAUAGCACAAGGCUGGUUCUGGCUACUGCACAAAAGGGAGCCAGCCCCAAACAGAAAUUUCCAUCAGUUGACUUAGUUUCACACCUUCAGCUUAGAGUUUGAGCAACUAAACAUGUUUCCUGGAGACAGAAAUUUCAAGAUGGGUGGUUUGGACGAACAGGGAGAUUAGCAAUGUCAAAAUAUUGCCACAUUGUCUCUGGAUGAACCAGGACUGCUGUCCCCAGACAGCUGCUAUCCAGGGCCAUCCUGCCUGACUAGCAGAACCAUGCUCUUCCCAACAAGAGAACUGGGGAGCGCUCCUUUAUCUAAAUUCUACCUUGUGUAACUUAGUUUUUCUUAAGCAACUUUAGCAGAUCCUUUGUAAUAUCAACAUAUUGCUCCCCGUUUGUCCAAGAUGAUUACAGUGUCUUUCUCCUUAUUUCUGAAACUCUAAUAGCACAAAUAGCUAGAUCUUUGUGCGUUACCCACCGCAAAGAGCCCUUAAGAUUUAUCUGAUUUCUGAGCUGCAUUUUCAAGUAGGAUACUUUAAUUUUUUUUUCCCCCCGGAGCUGAGGACCGAACCUAGGGCCUUGUGCUUGCUAGGCAAGCAUUCUACCACUGAGCUAAAUCCCCAACGCCAGGAUACUUUAAUUUUGAUUCUGGUUGGUUUUGUUUCCUUGUGUUGUCCUCAUUCUGAUACAAUGUUUCAGAUGUUGAGUUUUCUGGUUAAAAGUUUCUGUUCUUUUUCACGAUUUCUAUUUUCUGUUGGUGGAAUGCUAAGUGUGUUGUCCCAGCAUCUAGAGCACCUGGCAUUGUUAGCCUGCCAUUUUCUUUUUCCUGGAGAAUAACUCAUCUUUUCAUGGUGUUUCCUGUGUCGGAUAACUUUUUUUUUUCUUUUUUCUUUUUUUCGGAGCUGGGGACCGAACCCAGGGCCUUGCGCUUGCUAGGCAAGCGCUCUACCACUGAGCUAAAUCCCCAACCCCGUCGGAUAACUUUUGAUGCUUUGAUGACUGUGUUGUGGGACUCCAUCUUCCCAUAGCUCCCUGGCAAUCACUGAGUAGAUACAUGCCAGUCCCAUCUUGUCAUUUCUGCCAAGAGUUCCUGUCACUUAAGCUGUUAGAAUCUAUCCUCUCUCUGUUCCUUUGGGUGUAGCUCAUGCUUGUGCCAUUUAGAGGCUAAACUAGGACCCAGGCAGUUUCAAUUAAAACCUCAGCUCUUUCCACCUUCAUCGUGCUGUUCUGGAUACACACACACACACACACACACACAAGAAAGGUUACUAGUUAUUCUUCUGUUGCUGUGAAAAAAUGUCUGACCAGCGCAACAGAAGAAAGGAAAGGUCUAUUUUAGCUGAUGGUGUAAGGGCUCGAUCCAUCACAGCAGGAAGGCCUGGGCACAGGAGCAUGGUCACACGGCAUCCACACUCGGAUGUGAAGCAAGCAGAUGCUGAAUGCUGUGCUCAGUUCCCUUUUCUCUGCCUUAUUGGGUUUGGGUUACAGCCCAGUUGCCUCAUAGACCAGAGUCCGUACCUGUCUGAAUCCCCAGCCCAAACCCCAGGAGCAUUUUUAUCUAUCUCUCUAACUUGCCUUUUGAGACAGGGUCUUUCUGUGUAACCCUGGCUGUUGUGGAACAUGCUCUGUAGACCAGGCUGGCCUCAAACAAACUCACAGGGACCUGCCUGCCUCUGUCCCCCAAGUGCUGGGAUUAAAGACAUAUGCCACCACAUGUCUUCAGGAGCAUUUUAUUUUAUUCUUUAAGGCUUCCUUUUAUAUGUAUUGGUGUUUUGCCUGUGUGUAUGUACACCGCAUGCAUGGCUGGUACCUGAGAAGAGGGCGUGAGAUCCCCUGGAACUGGAGUUACAGGUAGUUGUGAGCCACCAGGUGUGUGCUGGGAAUUGAACCUAGGUCCUCUGGACGAGCAGCCAGUACUGUUAACCACUGAGCCAUCUCUCCAGCCCCAUCCAUGAGCAUUUAAAUGCUCACCCUAUACCUCUAACUAUUGGGGUGUCUGUUACACAGCCUGGGAACUUCAGACAGUGUGAAACUGUGCUCACCCGAGGCUAUGUUCUAUCUACUCUCCGCCUUGGUACUCUCUACCUUCCCCCACUGUUUGAUCCCUUUAAAUAAUCAUUCCGUUAAGAGCAAUGGUCAGCCAGGUGUGUUGUACCAACUGUCAAGUCCAGCCUGGGCAGCAAUGUGGUGAUAUGUAAAGUAAAGCCUUUAGGUGUGGCUUUGAGUAAAAUGUUUCGGCAAAGCCUCUGCUGUUGGGUUAAUCGGUAGAGGCUGAGAAAUUGUUUUGAGAGUGUUUGAACCUUGAAGAGACGUCGUGUCUCUGGAAGGUCUGCACUUGGUGCUACAUGAGAGCUUGCCGCUGCACAAAUCUUGGUCCCAAGACACUCCUGGCCAACCUGGAGUUCUUACUAUUAAUUUCCAGCUAGCCAUGGUCAAAAGGGACUGAGAUCUGUGGACUAUUUGCUCUCUCUGGUAGCAAUGAUAAAAAAAAAAUACUUUGGUAGUUGGAACCUUUCCCAGCCCCAAUAAUUUUGUCUAAUGAUUGACUAAAAGUCGCUAGAGUGAGCUAGAUAUAAUCAGUCUUUUGUCCAAGAAGGCUGAGCCUCUCUGCUCCUUUGGAAAAUGAAGGCUUAGCAUCUUGAUGGGCUUCUGUCUGUAGUGCGGCACCUACGACCGACAUCAGUCAAUCUGACAUAGGGAAAUUCUGCCCUGAGAGUCUGAAGAUACACCUCGGUGAUUAAGAACAUACAAUCCCGGGCUGGAGAGAUGGCUCAGCUGUUAAGAGCACCCGACUACUCUUCCAGAGGUCCUGAGUUCAAUUCCCAGCAACCACAUGGUGGCUCACAACCAUCUGUAAUGGGAUCUGAUGCCCUCUUCUGGUGUGUGUGAAGACAGCUACAGUGUACUUAUAUAUAAUAAAUGAAUAAAUCUUAAAAAAAAAAAAACCAUACACUCCCUGCUGAGGACGUGAGUUCAGUUGGGUGUUCACACCUGCCUGUGACUCCCGCUCCAGAGGAAUCUGAUGCCCUCUUCUGGCCUCUGUGGGCGUGCGUACACAUGCUUGGUGCCCUGGCGCUAGGUAUGGCUCGGUGAUUAGAAGCUGUGGCCACGGGGUUGGGGAUUUAGCUCAGUGGUAGAGCGCUUGCCUAGGAAGCGCAAGGCCCUGGGUUCGGUCCCCAGCUCCGGAAAAAAAAAAAAAAAAAAGAAGCUGUGGCCACUCCUGCAGAGGUCCUGGCUCUGGUUCUCAGCAUCCACACGGCAGCUCACAACUGCCUGUAAGUCCACUUCCAAAGUACCCGACAUCCUCGUCUGGCAUCCCAGGCAGGCGUAUGGUGCAUGGACCUAUAUACAGAAAAACACACAUAUACACGAAAUAAAUGUAAGUGAACAAAACAUAAGCAAAUACAUUUUUCUGAAGGAGCGUAGCAGGCUGCGGGUGGGUGUCACCCAAAGACUCUCGUCACACUGGUUUGGGAAGUACUUCAAGCGGUUAGCCAGGAUGGCUUCGGCCUCGUUCUCCAGUUACCAAAGCCUCACCACCUCCUAGAGUCUCAGCUUUAAAGAUAGACUCUUGGCAGCCAGUAGGGUGGGGGUUUUCUGCUACAGAACCAGAGAGCAUCACCUCCUGUGCGUUCUCGCCUCUCGACUUUCCGCCAGUCCUCGGUCAGCACGGCCUGACAUGUCUCAGAAACUACCAUGUUGCUUUGGGGGUUCGGGGGGAGGUAUGGGGGUCAGUAAGUAAUUUGUGAACAAAGGCUCAAAUCUGGCUGUCCUUGUGGGGACCCCAUGCUCCCCUCUGUCUGCACGGUGCUCACUCUUCCCUGCCGGAUGUCAUGGGAUGGAAUGCUGAGGGUACGACAGAGACAAAGCUGUAGAAAUUGUCAGGCGCUUUCCUAACUUGAAUUUUUCCCAACACCCACUUUUAAUGAUGGUUCCUAAAUGCUUUAACCUCCUUUUAGCCCACCACCCACCAAAGGUAGUGGGAAAGAAAGGAUACAGGGGGAGUGGACCUGUUUAGAAAGGUUCUUUGGAGCAACUCCCAUCUGUGCUGUCUGGAAAUCACCAAUUCAGUUCACAGGUAGUCAGUAGGAGCUCGAUCCACUUGCAAACACUUUAUGGUUACACCAGCAGUCUGAUUUAGCAGAGUCAGGAUAGCAAACACGAAUCAGGGCUGGAGAGAUGGCUCAGCCGUUAAGAGCACCGACUGGGGCUGGGGAUUUAGCUCAGUGGUAGAGCGCUUACCUAGGAAGCGCAAGGCCCUGGGUUCGGUCCCCAGCUCCGAAAAAAAGAACCAAAAAAAAAAAAAAAAAAAAAAAAGCACCGACUGUUCUUCCAGAGGUCCUGAGUUCAAAUCCCAGCAACCACAUGGUGGCUCCCAACCAUCUAUAAUGAGAUCUGAUGCCCUCUUCUGGUGUCUGAAGACAGCGACAGUGUACUUAUAAUAAAUAAAUAAACCUUAAACAAACAAACACAAAUCAGCAGCAGUGGCUACCUAGUAGAGACAGCCAGGCCUCAUCCUCAGCCCUAGUCAUCAGGAGGGACCAGGAGGAAGGCCAGGAAAAGUUCUUGGCUGUGCCUCUCUUGGAAGCAAAGAUCAGCGAAGACUGGUGUUGCACAGCCAGCUCUAAAAGCAAGCCAAGCUCAGCCCCAGUCACUGUCCAUCAAAUCCUUUUCAUACUCCCUCCAAACAUCACACGUCCUCCACGGGUCUUGCCUCAGCAGGUGCGACUGUCACAGCUGACAUCAUGCAAAGAGUCCUUCAUCACGUGUCCUUUCACAGUCUCGCUUUAGCAGAGCAUCCUCUCUCCUGUGUCUGCUUCAGCUAAAUGUUCCUUCACGUGUGUGUGUCCUGGCAAAACACCAUCCAAACAACUGUCCAAAGAACACUUAACGCUCCGCUUCAGAGUUUCAUACCAUUCUUAAGUUCCAAGACAGAAUGAAGUCACUGGAGGGGCCUUUCUAUCUGGGGUACCUGGCAACAGCCUUCCACCCAAUGGACACCUUACAACGUGGUACCCAGAGGAACCUGGUGUGACACGUGGUGGUGUGACAGGUGGAGCCAGACAAGCGCCUGUGAACCGUUGGCUGAGUGGACUCUUCUGCUGGAUGAUGAAGACCACGAUUUCUUCUGACGAGCUGCUUUUCUCAAGGAACUUCCUGGCUCCAGCUGUCUAAUUGAGGGCAAGUUAACCUCUGAGGGAAAUAGAUCCUGGCCAACAGUGUGAUCUCGUAGUCCCUAGGAUGACUGUCAUUUCCCUUUCUUGUCCCCUGGAGGACAGCCAAAAGCCCUGAGACCUGUGUCCGCAUGUUGAAGAUCUCAGAUUCAGAUUUCAGCAGAGAGCUACCCACAUGCCAUCCACCACCGGAGAUGCUCUGUACAAAUCUGCCCAAAAUAAAUAUGGCGCUCGUGACACAA